UUUUUCAGUGCUUUAAGGGUUGCAGUUUUCUCAGGCAGGUAACAAACUCUUCAGGCUGGGAUCUGAUGGAUAACAGCUGUCAGCCAUCCUAAACCAGGCCAGGCUGCAGCUGAUGAAUUCAGUGUUACACUGAAUAAUGGCUCGUGCUGAGGACAGAGCUUUGUCCAUCCUGUGGAGAGUGUUUGUGUCCCCCAGCGUCUGGCUCCUGAAUCCAUUGAUAUAAGAUAAAUUCCUGUCAGAGGUCCUAAAUGUAUUCAAGAAGUCUGGAAGGGAACCUUUGCAGCUACUCCUGGGAGGUGUAGGCUGGUGGUUUUUGAAGCAAUGGGAAAUGACAGUCAGAAGCCAGCUCAAAACAAGUGGUUUCAGUACAGGAGUUAAUGUUCCAGUGAGUCCAGGCUGAUUAGCUGCCAGCUAAUCAAUAAUCAAAUUAUUUACCUGCAAAUAAAAAAUUUCUGA